AGAGUCAGCAGAUGCAUGCCUGAUCCUUGCCAACAAGUACUGCGCUGACCCGGAUGCGGAGGAUGCCUCGAAUAUCAUGAGAGUAAUCUCCAUAAAGAACUACCAUCCGAAGAUAAGAAUCAUCACUCAAAUGCUGCAGUAUCACAACAAGGCCCAUCUGCUAAACAUCCCGAGCUGGAAUUGGAAAGAAGGUGAUGACGCAAUCUGCCUCGCAGAGUUGAAGUUGGGCUUCAUAGCCCAGAGCUGCCUGGCUCAAGGCCUCUCCACCAUGCUUGCCAACCUCUUCUCCAUGAGGUCAUUCAUAAAGCUGUAAUCACAUAUGGAUUCUUUUAUAUGGGUCUUGGCAUGGACUGAACAAAGAGAAAGGCAGCACAGAAAGAUUACAUAACAUAUACACAGAGUCCGGUGCCCAGCGAGGAUGGGGCCCGAGAAGCGGCAAUGGUCAGGACUUAAUGCGAAAAUCCAGUAGAAGCUGACACUCACCCUGGCCCUUCUCGGCUGGCAGGAUAUAGUCACUGAUGUGAAAUAAGAGCCAUCUUAUUGAACAAGCCUCUGGCCAAGCAUCAGUCUGAGCUCUUUCAGAGAUAAUUGGCCUUUAAUUAAUUGCAUGCAUUCCUGAGUCCACCUGGGUAUCCACAGACUGGGUCUACUCUGCCUCCCCACUCUUCCAAAUUUUUGACUUUGGUUUUUUGAGUGCCAUCCACUGUUAGUGAUUGUUACAUGAAAAUCGCAAAGUCCUAUGUAAGCCAUAAGGAAUAA
rnacentral:lncRNA from 1 species